rnacentral:tRNA from 1 species
GGAUUGUGGCUCAGUGGUAGAGUGCUUGCCUAGUAUGUGUGAGACCCUGGGUUCGAUACUCAGCACCA